CGGAGGGUGCAAGCGUUAUCCGGAUUCACUGGGUUUAAAGGGUGCGUAGGUGGGCAGGUAAGUCAGUGGUGAAAUCUCCGGGCUUAACCCGGAAACUGCCAUUGAUACUAUUUGUCUUGAAUACCGUGGAGGUCAGCGGAAUAUGUCAUGUAGCGGUGAAAUGCUUAGAUAUGACAUAGAACACCAAUUGCGAAGGCAGCUGGCUACACGAAUAUUGACACUGAUGCACGAAAGCGUGGGGAUCAGACAGGAUUAGAUACCCUGGUAGUCCACGCCCUAAACGAUGGAUACUCGACAUACGCGAUAUACUGUGUGUGUCUGAGCGAAAGCAUUAAGUAUCCCACCUGGGAAGUACGAUCGCAAGAUUG
rnacentral:rRNA from 1 species